UUUUGAAUUCGUUUGCUUCAUAGAAUGAACUUUCUUCUUCGUUCAUUCAGUUUCCUUUUCUUCGUUACAAAUAUUCUUAACACGUUUGCUUCUCCUACACGGCACUUGUGCCGACCCGACCAAAGAAAUGCCCUUGUGGAGUUCGAGAGUGAGUUUGAGAUUCGGAAUCUUGACGUAGAUGUUUUCUCUAAUCCGAAAACAAAAUCAUGGACAAACAAAAGUGACUGUUGUUCAUGGGACGGUGUCAAGUGCGAUGCCAAGUCUGGUGAAGUGGUUGAGCUAGACCUUAGCUGCAGCUGCUUCCACGGAAAACUCAGUUCCACAAGUAGUCUUUUUAAGCUGCAAGAACUUCGUGUCCUCAAUCUUGCUUACAACGAGUUGGGCUCUUCUGAGAUACCUAGUCAGCUCGGUACACUUACUGAGCUAAAAGUACUCAACCUCUCCAACUCUUGGACUUCAGGUCCAAUUCCAAAAGAGCUUCUUCAUCUGACCAAGUUGGUGUCUCUUGAUCUCUCUUCUAAUUCUCUCUCAGCUGACAAGUCAUUUCUCAUCAAUCUUUCCCAGAAUCUGACAAACCUCGAGGAUCUUAACCUAGAACUUGUCGACAUUUCUUCAGAAAUUCCUCAAAAUAUCUCAAACCUAUCCUCUCUCAAAUCACUCUCUCUUGAUGACUGCAGUUUGUUUGGUAAUUUUCCAAGCAAUCUUUUUAUGAUCCCUACUCUACAAUCCAUCAAGUUGCACGGCAAUCAAGACAUGGAAGGCUAUCUUCCAGAGUUCAAUGAAAACAACUCUCUUGUCUUUUUGGAUCUUUCUUGGAUAUCCAUUUCAGGUAACAUACCUGACUCCAUCAGCAACCUCAAACAUUUGAAUACUUUGAAACUUAAGUUUUGCAAUCUCCAUGGAGUGAUUCCAUCUUCACUUGGAAACCUAACUAAUCUAUCAGCUCUCCACCUUUCACAUAAUAAUUUCAACGGUCAGAUCCCUUCUUCAUUUGGAAACCUUUCCCGUCUUACCUCUAUUGACCUUUCUUCCAAUAGAUUAGACGGCCAAAUCCCACCUUCCUUUGUCAAUCUUAAACAACUGACUACCUUACAACUCGGUUCCAAUAAGCUUACUGGUAACUUCCCAUUUGCAUUACUCAACCUCACAAACUUGUCAGCUUUAUCACUCUCCGACAAUCAUUUCACUGGUGCACUUCCUCCAAACAUAAGCGCACUCUCCAACAUGGAGACUUUUGAAGCAAGUCAAAACGUUUUCACUGGAACUCUUCCUUCUUCGCUCUUCAACAUACCUUCUUUGACCUGCGUCGACCUGCAAGAUAAUCAACUAAACCACAUUCUUUAAUUUGGGAACAAAUCCUCACCAUCUAAGCUAGAGAGGUUACUGAUUGGCAAUAACCAUUUCAGAGGUUCAAUCCCACCAUCCAUUUCGAGAUUAGUCAAUCUUUACCUACUUGACCUUUCCUAUUUCAACACGGGGACGGCUGUCGACUUUGGUAUCUUCUCACAGCUCAAGAGGAUUAUAGAUUUGGACAUAAGCUACAUAAACACCACCAAUGCUGUUGAUCUGAGUAUCAUCUUCUUACAUCUCAACUCCCUAUCUACACUGUAUCUAGCCGGGGUGCAUGUCUCAACAAAGAAGAUGGGUUUAGUUUCCAAUCCACCAACGAACUUGUGCCUGUUGCGCUUAUCAGGAUGCGGUAUCACAGAGUUUCCAAAGUUCGUAAGGAAACUACAACAAAUGUCACGCUUGGAUAUCUCAAACAACAAGAUCAGAGGUCAAGUGCCACGAUGGAUAUGGAAACUACGAAUGCUAACGUUCCUGAAUCUUUCCAGCAACGCUUUCACCGGUCUCGAAAGAUCCUCAAAUGAUUCCACAAGGCUGGAGAUUAGUAUGUUGGAUAUGAGUUCAAACGCGUUGCAAGGACCAUUCAUCGACCCACCAGUCUCCAUGGAAUCCAUGCUCGUCUCCAACAACAAGUUCACAGGAAAGAUCCCACAAUCCAUAUGUGAGCGGAGAUCUCUACAGCAACUUGAUUUAUCCAAUAACAACUUCACAGGCUCCAUUCCUCAAUGUCUAGAGAACCUGGAUACUUCCCUUUCAGUGCUUAACCUCCGUUACAAUCAACUCAGUGGAAAUAUUCCAGAAAUAUUUACCAAUGCCACCGAGUUAGUAUCCCUUGACGUCAGUCACAACAGAUUCGUUGGGAAACUUCCAAGAUCUUUAAAGAGCUGCUCCAAACUUGAAGUUCUCAACGUGGGAGGCAAUGCAAUUGACGACACUUUUCCCUUCUGGUUGAAUGCUUUGCCUGAACUAAAAGUUAUGGUCCUCCGCAACAAUGAAUUCAAAGGACUCUUGCACCGUCCUCCUCCUCCUCACUCUUUUGGAUUUCCCAAGCUUCAAAUCAUUGACGUAUCCAAAAUAGCUUCAAUGGAACACUACCAUCAUAUUACUUUGCAGACUGGAACAUGAGGAGACGUGAAGAACGGUCGGGGUUGAUAUACAUUGGAAAUAGAGGUUAUUACCAUGAUUCGAUGGUCUUGACGAGUAAAGGAGUAGAUACAAAGCUGGAACGGAUAUUCAAACUCUUAACAGCCAUUGACUUGUCAGGAAAUAAACUCAGAGGAAAGAUCCCCGAAUCCAUUGGUCUACUCAAGGAUCUUAUUGUGCUAAAUCUUUCGAGCAAUGGUUUCGCUGGAAACAUACCUUCAUCUUUGGCGAAUCAGACUCAGCUCGAGUCACUAGACUUAUCACACAACAAGCUUACAGGCGAGAUUCCACCUUCUCUCGGGGAUCUCACUAGUCUGUCUUACAUCAAGCUUUCCCAGAACCAGCUCCACGGUCUGAUACCGCAACGAGCACAGUUUCAGACUCAGUCUGCUUCGGCUUUUGAAGGAAACCUAGGACUCUGUGGUCUUCCGCUAAGUGAAAGUUGUGGUGCGCAAUCACAAGAGCCAGAACCAGAGGAAGAAGAAGAGGAAGGAGGAGUAUUGAGCUGGGCUGCAGCUGCCAUAGCCUUUGCACCUGGACUCAUCCUUGGAUUGACAACUGGGUACAUCGUGGCUACACAAAAGUCUCACUGGUUCAUGAGAUAUCUAGCUUGACAAAGCUCAAACGCAGAUGAUCCUGUCACGCCACUUCAACAACAAGUUUGAGAAGCUACACAAAAGGAAACCCUAAAGUGAGGAGCACAAUGACCAGGACAUUGAGAUUGUUCUUGACCAUUUAAAACUUGUUGAAUAGUUUUUUUAAUAAGUAUAUAUGUACGAUAUAUCAAAAC